rnacentral:rRNA from 1 species
AACGAACGCUGGCGGCAGGCCUAACACAUGCAAGUCGAGCGGGCGUAGCAAUACGUCAGCGGCGGACGGGUGAGUAACACGUGGGAAUAUGCCUUUCGGUUUGGAACAACUCGGGGAAACCCGUGCUAAUUCCGGAUACGCCCUUAGGGGGAAAGGAUUUAUCGCCGAAAGAUUAGCCCGCGUCCGAUUAGCUAGUUGGUGAGGUAACGGCCCACCAAGGCGACGAUCGGUAGCUGGUUUGAGAGAACGACCAGCCACACUGGGGACUGAGACACGGCCCAGACUCCUACGGGAGGCAGCAGUGGGGAAUCUUGGACAAUGGAGGAAACUCUGAUCCAGCCAUGCCGCGUGAGUGAUGAAGGCCUC